rnacentral:rRNA from 1 species
CAGGAAUUAGCUUGCUAAUUUGCUGACGAGUGGCGCACGGGUGCGUAACGCGUAUACAAUCUACCUUUUGCUGAGGGAUAGCCCAGAGAAAUUUGGAUUAAUACCUCAUAGUAUUAUUGAUAGGCAUCUAUUAAUAAUUAAAGGUUACGGCAAAAGAUGAGUAUGCGUCCCAUUAGCUAGUUGGCGAGGUAACGGCUCACCAAGGCAACGAUGGGUAGGGGUCCUGAGAGGAUGAUCAGCCACACUGGGACUGAGACACGGCCCAGACUCCUACGGGAGGCAGCAGUGGGGAAUAUUGGACAAUGGGCGCAAGCCUGAUCCAGCCAUGCCACGUGUGUGAAGAAGGCCUUCGGGUUGUAAAGCACUUUCAGAGGUGAGGAAGGGUGUGUAGUUAAUACCUACAUAUCUUGACGUUAGCCUCAGAAGAAGCACCGGCUAACUCUGUGCCAGCAGCCGCGGUAAUACAGAGGGUGCGAGCGUUAAUCGGAAUUACUGGGCGUAAAGCGCGCGUAGGUGGUUUGUUAAGUCGGAUGUGAAAGCCCAGGGCUCAACCUUGGAAUUGCACCCGAUACUGGCAGGCUAGAGUACGGUAGAGGG